UUUUCUUCCCAGGAAACUGCCCCAGGCAGUCAUAGAUAUCCUUAACAUAGCCCUUAUUGUUAUUACCAAAUAAAAUCAUCUCGGUCUUAUCUUCAUUCAAUUGAAGAAAAUGAUUUGCCAACCAGCACUUAACCUCUGUCAGACAUUGAUGCAGAGACUGCAAAGCACAUUUAUGGUCCUAAAAAGAUGUAACCC